rnacentral:lncRNA from 1 species
CUCCAAUUUAAUUUUCAAUUAGAAUUGAUUAAAAAUCACAAUUCUCAAUAAUAACUCCUAAUUUGCUUUUCUAUGUGAAUUGAAGAUUGAUUCACUAACUGAUUAAUAAAUAAUAAGUAUAAAUAAAACACAAAAUACAUCAUUGCAUAUUUGCAUCAAAGCACAAACAAUACUCAAAUCAAUUAUCAAUAGACACUCAACAGUCAACAUACUCCACUCAACAAAUCAACAGACAACAAUUCAACAGUCAACAAAGGGUUUGCAACAAAAAGAAUUCAACAUUCUACCAAAAAAAUUCGAGUAUUCAACUCACCCACGCAGCUUGCUCGGCCUCGAUUGCCCCUGACUUCGCACAAUCUCACCAGUUCGCACACGGUCCACCAUUCACAACUGCUCGCACAGUCGCACUCGUACUUCCCACCCAUUUCGUUCGUAGGCGCCGCGGCUACUACUUCUGCUUGGAAUGGAAAUAUGGAAUUGGAAGGAAGGGUUUGCACUUCGUCUUUGCUUGCUGCCGGUUUCAAAUGUUGGGGAAUAGGGAUUUGGAGUUUGGGUUGGGGGGAAAUUAAUACCAUGGAUGCCGGACCAAUGAUUUCCUCUAUUGGGCCAAAAUUUUUUUUUUUUUUAAACAAAAAAGGCCCAGGUCACCAGCCCAAGCCCCGAUGAUAAGAAAAUGGAAAUCUUCUUCUUUCUUCCCCUUCAACCUUUGUCUUAGCAUUCUGCAACUUAGCAACUACCUGCGCCUGCAACCUGGCGAUCUCGGCGGCAACUGAAGGUCCCGGGCGGAUCUAGCACGCGUGGCCGCGGGUGCUGGAUCCGCCACUGUUUGGAUGCAUACGGCAAUUAUUUGACAUGUUGGAGCCUCUCUUUUAACUGAAGCCAUAUAACCUGCCAAUCCCCAAAAUAAUUCUCUCUUAAAGUCUGUGGUUAACAUUCACAGAAUCUGGUGACAGGCUUCAUUUUAUCAAAAUCAAAUAUAGAAAAGUCUUACCUUCUAUUCACACUUGUAUUACAAUGUAUGAUUCACAAUCUGUAAUCUUGCCAUGCACAAUAACUUUUUCGAGGCAUUAUUAUAAACACAGUAAGAGUUAGGAACUAUUAUUGUUUCAGUUACUUUUGAAGUUCUCUUUGAUGACUCUCAUAGUAAAAAAUGAAAGAAGUGUAAGCACAAUUGUUCUUUUGAAGAAAGGUAAAUUGGCGGUUUUUUGCUUUCCAUUUUCUUAUCCAAAUUUAAAUUUCUAUUUGGAACAGGUUUUGGUUGAACCUGGAACACCACAAGGAUCAAAUAUCA